rnacentral:rRNA from 1 species
AGAGUUUGAUCAUGGCUCAGAGCGAACGUUAGCGGCAGGCCUAACACAUGCAAGUCACACGAGAAUUCGGUUUCGGCCGAUAGUAAAGUGGCGGACGGGUGCGUAACACGUGGGUAAUCUGCCCUUCGGCGGGGGACAACAGUCCGAAAGGAUUGCUAAUACCGCAUACGUCGGCAGGGUUUACGAACCUUGCUGGGAAAGCAGGCCUCUUCAUGAAAGCUUGCACCGAAGGAUGAGCCCGCGGCCCAUCAGCUAGUUGGUAGGGUAAUGGCCUACCAAGGCAUAGACGGGUAGCUGGUCUGAGAGGAUGAUCAGCCACACUGGGACUGAGACACGGCCCAGACUCCUACGGGAGGCAGCAGUGGGGAAUAUUGGGCAAUGGGCGCAAGCCUGACCCAGCCAUGCCGCGUGAGUGAUGAAGGCUUUCGGGUCGUAAAGCUCUGUGGGGAGGGACGAAAAAACGGAACCUAAUACGUUCUGGACUGACGGUACCUCCUUAGCAAGCACCGGCUAACUCCGUGCCAGCAGCCGCGGUA